rnacentral:rRNA from 1 species
GGGUUGUGAGGUUAAGCGACUAAGCGUACACGGUGGAUGCCCUGGCAGUCAGAGGCGAUGAAGGACGUGCUAAUCUGCGAUAAGCGUCGGUGAGGUGAUAUGAACCGUUAUAACCGGCGAUUUCCGAAUGGGGAAACCCAGUGUGUUUCGACACACUAUCAUUAACUGAAUCCAUAGGUUAAUGAGGCGAACCGGGGGAACUGAAACAUCUAAGUACCCCGAGGAAAAGAAAUCAACCGAGAUUCCCCCAGUAGCGGCGAGCGAACGGGGAGGAGCCCAGAGCCUGAAUCAGUGUGUGUGUUAGUGGAAGCGUCUGGAAAGGCGUGCGAUACAGGGUGACAGCCCCGUACACAAAAAUGCACAUAUUGUGAGCUCGAUGAGUAGGGCGGGACACGUGGUAUCCUGUCUGAAUAUGGGGGGACCAUCCUCCAAGGCUAAAUACUCCUGACUGACCGAUAGUGAACCAGUACCGUGAGGGAAAGGCGAAAAGAACCCCGGCGAGGGGAGUGAAAAAGAACCUGAAACCGUGUACG